rnacentral:rRNA from 1 species
CCUACGGGUGGCAGCAGUGGGGAAUAUUGCACAAUGGGGGGAACCCUGAUGCAGCAAUGCCGCGUGGGUGAAGAAGCACUCCGGUGCGUAAAGCCCUGUCAGCAGGGAAGAAAAUGACAGUACCUGGACAUGAAGCUCCGGCUAACUACGUGCCAGCAGCCGCGGUAAGACGGAGGGGGCAAGCGUUAUCCGGAUUUACUGGGUGUAAAGGGAGCGCAGGCGGGGUGGCAAGUCAGUUGUGAAAACCCGGGGCCCAACCGCGGGAGUGCAUUUGAAACUGCCAUGCUGGAGUGCCGGUGAGGUAGGCGGAAUUCGUGGUGUAGCGGUGAAAUGCGUAGAUAUUAGGAGGAACACCGGUGGCGGAGGCGGCUUACUGAACGGUAACUGACGCUGAGGCUCGAAAGCGUGGGGAGCAAACAGGAUUAGAUACCCCGGUAGUC